rnacentral:lncRNA from 1 species
GCACGAUCCAGUUAGAUAUUUCAUUUUCUUGUUUGGAGAGAAAUAAUGAAAGAGCAUUAGUUAAUAAAUUUGUUCAUUUUCGUGUAACAAGUGUAUUAAUUUCAUGCAUAAAAAGUCCUUCCAUUACGGAGAACCAUCCUCCUGAUGGUUGGCAUUUGGCAUUUUAAACAUGUACCUACAAGCUGCAUGGAUAGAAAGUCUACUCAGACAAAAGGAAUAUAAAUUAUAAAAUAAUUUGAUUAAUAAGAUGACCAUAACAUGUUAAGCUGGUAAAAAAGAAGAGAAGGGUUCAAUUAUUAAAUAGCCACGCAAUAUAUUAUUCGUGAUUAGCAACACAAGCUAAUGACAUGGGAAAAAUACAAAAGGGAAUUAGAAGUGUGCAAAGGAAACUGCGGGAAAUAUCAACACAACUACGACAAAGAUCUUUCAAAACAUAAUAUACAAAUAUUAUCCAUUUAACUGGUUCAUUUUGGGAGUGGUGUCCUCACAAAUUCCCACGUGAUCCGAUGAAAAGCAUCAUUAGAACUUCUCAUCCCAGCUACUUCAUUGAUGGGAACCGCAUCAGUAAUCUCUUUCAAAUCUUCUUUUGUAAGCUUCACUUUCAGAGCACCAAUAUUAUCGUGAAGAUUCUUAAUUUUGGUCGUACCUACACCAAUAUUUCAAGAUUGGCAAGAUAAAUUAUCAUUAAAAACAAUCAAAUUCAUGAUAUCGAUAUAAUGCACAUUUCACUGGCAUCCAUUGUAUGUAUAAUUUCGGAGAAAAUUAUUUUACAGCAUCUGCAAAUAAUAACAAUUUUCCAGAGUAAUCUCACUUAACGAUCCGUCUUUCCUGAUCUCCCUAUCUAGGGUGAAAUGGCCCAAAUGGCUGUUAAUUAUAAGGCCUACGCACAUAAAUAUGGUGGAAAAUUAAGAGAAAAAUAACCAGACUCUGAAGAGAUUUACGAGCUCGUAUGUAUAUCUCGACACCUCCAAGAAGCAUACUGAUAUCUAAAUAAGAAACAAAAAGACUCAUGAAAGACGAGGGAAAGGUUGAUCAUCUCAUACUCAAGUACAUGAACUUCCAAAGGGCAGGAACGAUCAUCUCAUACUCCAAUAUUAUAGGCCUAUUUGUACAGUUAUUCACGUGUGACGAGACCUCUGUUUCUUUCCCAUCUCAUAAUCCCGAAUUAACAAAAAACUGCACGAGCAUGCGAUAAUUUUACUCUCAUUCUAUCCCUUUCAUUUCCUUUAAAAAAAAAAAAGGGUAAAAAGAAAAGGAGUUACAUAAUUAGAUAUCUAUGAAAAAGAAUGUUGGUUUUCAACCCCAUCCAUAAUGAGGGUAUCUGAAAUUCAUGGGGAUGCUAAAUAGAGACUUCCAAUUUUACAGCGAAAAACAGGGAGAGGAGAGUUGGCUGGUUUCAAUUGGCGUUUAGCUUAGUCUAAGUCACAAUUCCAGUUCAAUUCACAAAUCUCCAAGACAAUCUACAUUGAUAUACUUUUAAUAUGAAUAUUCUUAUGCUCACAAAAACGAAUUAAAUGCUUCAAUAUAAAUAUAAUGUGAGGGUAACAGCAAAGAUUUUUAAACAGAUAGUUCCAAUUUCUUUCAUACUCUACAUUUCCGAUCCAUCAAACAUGGUUUCUACUAUAGUUUUUAACGCUAAGGCUUUUACAUGAUUGACUAACCUGGAAUAGGUACAACAUCAUUUCCUUGAUGAAGAACCCAUGCAAGCGCAAGUUGAGCAGGAGUGCAUCCAUGCUUCUUAGCCAACGCUUCUAUACGAAAAUAUAGGACUUUGUUCUUAUCAAAGUUCUCUCCCUGAAGCCUUGGGUGACUUGUCUGACGGUACGAAAAUUAAACAACUUCUCAUCAACAGAGAGAUUACAAAAGUGAAGAUACUACUACAUGAUCCUGGAUACUAAAUAAGAUAUUGUGCAAUGAAAUCUAAAAUAUAUAGAUGCACACACCAAAGAGCUAUUUGGAUCUGCACUUUCCACGAUGGCCUUCCCAGCAAAAAACCCUCGACCUAAGGGACUGUAUGGAACUAUUCCAAUUCCAAGUUCCCUAUUUUCCAUUUCCAGAAAAAAGAAGAAACAAUAUAUGAGAUCAUAAUCAAUAAGAUGAAAAACUAUAGAAACUUGAAGCGUAGUAGUUGAAAGAAAUGAAUCAGGGUGUUCAAGAAUUGAUAAAGGAGGAAAAUAUUUUUACUGUUUU